UACGUAGGGUGCGAGCGUUGUUCGGAAUUACUGGGCGUAAAGCGCACGUAGGCGGAUUGCUAAGUCAGGGGUGAAAUCCUGGAGCUCAACUCCAGAACUGCCUUUGAUACUGGCGACCUUGAGUCCGGGAGAGGUGAGUGGAACUGCGAGUGUAGAGGUGAAAUUCGUAGAUAUUCGCAAGAACACCAGUGGCGAAGGCGGCUCACUGGCCCGGUACUGACGCUGAGGUGCGAAAGCGUGGGGAGCAAACAGG
rnacentral:rRNA from 1 species